rnacentral:rRNA from 1 species
GUUAGUCGUCGGGAGCUCGUCCUCUCGGUGAUGCAGCUAACGCAUUAAACAUUCCGCCUGGGGAGUACGGUCGCAAGAUUAAAACUCAAAGGAAUAGACGGGGACCCGCACAAGUGGUGGAGCAUGUGGUUUAAUUCGAAGAUACGCGAAGAACCUUACCUGGCCUUGACAUUGAUAGAAUCUGCUAGAGAUAGCGGAGUGCCCUUCGGGGAGCUUGAAAACAGGUGCUGCACGGCUGUCGUCAGCUCGUGUCGUGAGAUGUUGGGUUAAGUCCCGCAACGAGCGCAACCCUCGUCACUAGUUACUAACGGUUCGGCCGAGGACUCUAGUGAGACUGCCUUCGUAAGGAGGAGGAAGGUGAGGACGACGUCAAGUCAUCAUGGCCCUUACGGCCAGGGCGACACACGUGCUACAAUGGGAUGUACAAUGAGACGCAAUACCGCGAGGUGGAGCAAAUCUAUAAAGCAUCUCUCAGUUCGGAUUGUAGUCUGCAACUCGACUACAUGAAGCUGGAAUCACUAGUAAUCGUAGAUCAGCCAUGCUACGGUGAAUACGUUCCCGGGUCUUGUACUCACCGCCCGUCACACCAUGGGAGUUGAUUUCACCCGAAGCGGGGAAGCUAAACUGGCUACCCUCCUACGGUGGAAUCAGCGACUGGGGUGAAGUC